GGGAGUGUAGCUCAGGGGUAGAGCACUUGACUAGCGUGCUCAAGGCCCUGAGUUCAAUCCUCAGCCCUGCAA
rnacentral:tRNA from 1 species